ACUCAAAUGAAUUGACGGGGGCCCGCACAAGCGGCGGAGCAUGCGGAUUAAUUCGAUGCAACGCGAAGAACCUUACCUGGGUUUGACAUGCACUAGACGACAUCAGAGAUGGUGUUUCCUUUUUGGCUGGUGUGCAGGUGGUGCAUGGCUGUCGUCAGCUCGUGUCGUGAGAUGUUGGGUUAAGUCCCGCAACGAGCGCAACCCUCGUCCUAUGUUGCCAGCACGUAAUGGUGGGGACUCAUAGGAGACUGCCGGGGUCAACUCGGAGGAAGGUGGGGAUGACGUCAAGUCUUCAUGCCCCUUAUGUCCAGGGCUUCACGCAUGCUACAAUGGCCGGUACAGACCGCUGCGAUCCCGCGAGGGUGAGCGAAUCGGAAAAAGCCGGUCUCAGUUCGGAUUGGGGUCUGCAACUCGACCCCAUGAAGUCGGAGUCGCUAGUAAUCGCAGAUCAGCAACGCUGCGGUGAAUACGUUCCCGGGCCUUGUACACACCGCCCGU
rnacentral:rRNA from 1 species